UACUCCUACGGGAGGCAGCAGUGGGGAAUUUUGGACAAUGGGGGCAAGCCUGAUCCAGCCAUUCCGCGUGAGUGAAGAAGGCCUUCGGGUUGUAAAGCUCUUUCACAAGAGAAGAAAAGAUUGUGACUAAUAAUCCGAGAUCAUGACGGUUCAACAGAGAGCC
rnacentral:rRNA from 1 species